AGCCCAGAAGGUACGAGCCAGGUCCUGCAUCCCGUCACUAGCUGCCUGAGCUCGUAGCUCCUCCAGCCAUCCGAAAAAGUCAGACGACCACAAGCCCCAAUAGGGCACAUAAUGUGGAUAUUGAAAAUGUGAACGCCAUCAGGUGACAGUGCAAGAAGCCCAAUGGUGCCAUCAUGUGGAUAUUUAAAGGUGGACACCGGUCUGUAAAUGGAAUUUGGUCCAAAAGAAUAAUUGAGUAAUUGAACUUCUCCAUCCAAAAGCUGUAGUCAUGACUUCACCUGACAGACUCACCGACGACUCGCUGUCUCGUAUGAGGAAGUCGCCCUCCUCUCCUCUCUCGUUGAGUAUACACUCGGCCU